CCUGGUCGCUUCGGGGUUUGAAAACGAAAGGCAAGAGCAACAUGGCGGAGACUCCACUCCGGCCCGGGCUUGGGAGAGGGUCAGGCCGGGGCGGGAUCAGGCCUUAGCAACCGACAUCAACCCUUAGCAACCGCUGCCCGACCUUUUAUACCACCCUGUAGCUUCUUUAAGCCCGGAGACUACAUUUCCCAGAGAGCCAUGCGGGGCCAGGAUGUGCGUAACGCGCAGGCGCCGGGACAUUUUUCUGUUUAUAUAAGGGAGGUGCGCGGUUUGUCUUCCUCUUUCUGAUCUCCGCUUCUUUAGUGUUUGCUUUGUGUCGUUCUUCAUCCGGAGCCAUCGUGGUCUUGGAAUGCCUCUUGGUGAACUACUUCUGGAAGGAGGAGGGAGGCAUAUUAUGGGGAUUUUGGAGACCUGGGUGUUUAGGUACCAUGACCCCAUGCUGGCUUCUCUUCUGAUUUCAUCAGACUUGAUACCCAUUCCGGUGAUUUGAUUUGGAUCAGAUUAUUGGAUUUACCUAAUAGUCCCUGGAAGGAUAGAUAGGCUAGCUCUCAAAAUGAGCCGAAGGUGUUAGGGUGCCAGUGAUGACUGUCUAAUACCAUACAGACUAGAAUGGUAUUCAAAGUACUCAGCAUUCCUUAAAGGAAUUUAAAAUUGGUGGAUGACCAAUUGAAAUGAAGUAAGUGAAAUUUGGAGACUUGAAAAAUCUGAGGUGUGGCCUUAAAUGAAGAAGACAGCCUUUGCUUAUGAAUAUGAAACAUUGAGUUGGCUGUUCCAGCUGUUAUUAGAAUAAAAUAGUCUUGUUUUACAUUUUGCAAAUAAAUAAAAAAUUUGUUAACUUUGAA